GAUGAACGCUGGCGGCGUGCUUAACACAUGCAAGUCGAACGGAAAGGCCCAAGCUUGCUUGGGUACUCGAGUGGCGAACGGGUGAGUAACACGUGGGUGAUCUGCCCUGCACUUCGGGAUAAGCCUGGGAAACUGGGUCUAAUACCGGAUAGGACCACAUUUUGGAUGGUGUGGUGGAAAGUUCUUCGGUGUGGGAUGAGCUCGCGGCCUAUCAGCUUGUUGGUGGGGUAAUGGCCUACCAAGGCGUCGACGGGUAGCCGGCCUGAGAGGGUGUACGGCCACAUUGGGACUGAGAUACGGCCCAGACUCCUACGGGAGGCAGCAGUGGGGAAUAUUGCACAAUGGGCGCAAGCCUGAUGCAGCGACGCCGCGUGGGGGAUGACGGCCUUCGGGUUGUAAACUCCUUUCGCUAGGGACGAAGCGUUAUGUGACGGUACCUGGAGAAGAAGCACCGGCUAACUACGUG
rnacentral:rRNA from 1 species